GGAGGCGUCGCCUAACUGGUAGGGCAGCAGCGUGCUAAGCUGCCGGGCUUUCGAGCCUAUGUGCGUUCGACUCGCACCGCCUCCGUCA
rnacentral:tRNA from 1 species